GACGAACGCUGGCGGCGUGCCUAAUACAUGCAAGUUGAGCGAUGAAGCUUGGUGCUUGCACCAAUUUGAAGAGCAGCGAACGGGUGAGUAACGCGUGGGGAAUCUGCCUUUGAGCGGGGGACAACAUUUGGAAGCGAAUGCUAAUACCGCAUAAUAACUUUAAACAUAAGUUUUAAGUUUGAAAGAUGCAAUUGCAUCACUCAAAGAUGAUCCCGCGUUGUAUUAGCUAGUUGGUGAGGUAAAGGCUCACCAAGGCGAUGAUACAUAGCCGACCUGAGAGGGUGAUCGGCCACAUUGGGACUGAGACACGGCCCAAACUCCUACGGGAGGCAGCAGUAGGGAAUCUUCGGCAAUGGACGAAAGUCUGACCGAGCAACGCCGCGUGAGUGAAGAAGGUUUUCGGAUCGUAAAACUCUGUUGGUAGAGAAGAACGUUGGUGAGAGUGGAAAGCUCAUCAAGUGACGGUAACUACCCAGAAAGGGACGGCUAACUACGUG
rnacentral:rRNA from 1 species